AACGGACACACCGCAUGACUGCGUACGUUUUCAGUUUCUUGCACUUCAUCCCGAAUUGAUUUCCGGUGAUUUAAGCCACCAUUUAACGAGCCGUUUGUUCCUAUUUAAGCCCCACACCUUCCUCUCCAUUUCCCUUCAAACCACACAGAUCGAGAGCCUCGAGGCUGCUCUAAUUUUUCCUCGCAACUCCACGGUACCGUCGCGGUAAAUCGUCGAUUGCGCAACGACACCAUCUUCGUCUGUUAGCACGUCCGCGGGACAGUUUUCCGGCGAGCGAUUUCGGGCGAAUCAGUGCACUUCAACGACCGCCACCAAUUUCGCCUCGUGAUUUCGGGUGGCUUCAUCUGCUUCAUCAUCGGCAGAAAUCGCGGGAGCUCGACGUUGAACACAGCAACCAUCUUCAGUAACCUCGUCUCAUUGUGGUUGUGCUGAUUGCAACGAGUGUUUCUGCGAAGAGUGUACCAACUCCUCAUCUCACCAAGG